rnacentral:rRNA from 1 species
UACGUAGGGUGCGAGCGUUGUCCGGAAUUACUGGGCGUAAAGAGCUCGUAGGCGGUUUGUCGCGUCUGCUGUGAAAGACCGGGGCUCAACUCCGGUUCUGCAGUGGGUACGGGCAGACUAGAGUGCAGUAGGGGAGACUGGAAUUCCUGGUGUAGCGGUGAAAUGCGCAGAUAUCGGGAGGAACACCAGUGGCGAAGGCGGCGAUCUGGGAAGAUACUGACGCUGAGGUGCGAAAGCGUGGGGAGCAAACAGG